UGCAGCCCUGACUGUAAAUCGCUUUGGAUAAAAGCGUCUGCUAAAUUGCAUAUA
rfam:Salmo salar isolate Sally breed double haploid chromosome ssa11, whole genome shotgun sequence.